rnacentral:rRNA from 1 species
UACGUAGGGGCUAGCGUUAUCCGGAAUUACUGGGCGUAAAGGGUGCGUAGGUGGUUUCUUAAGUCAGAGGUGAAAGGCUACGGCUCAACCGUAGUAAGCCUUUGAAACUGGGAAACUUGAGUGCAGGAGAGGAGAGUGGAAUUCCUAGUGUAGCGGUGAAAUGCGUAGAUAUUAGGAGGAACACCAGUGGCGAAGGCGGCCUGCUGGACAUUAACUGACGCUGAGGCGCGAAAGCGUGGGGAGCAAACAGGAUUAGAUACCCGCGUAGUCCCUGAGCGGG